GACAGAGGGUGCAAACGUUGCUCGGAAUCACUGGGCGUAAAGGGCGUGUAGGCGGGAAGGAAAGUCGGGCGUGAAAUCCCUGGCUCAACCCAGGAACUGCACUCGAAAGUCUUUCUUUUCUUGAGUGCCGGAGAGGAAAGCGGAAUUCCUGGUGUAGAGGUGAAAUUCGUAGAUAUCAGGAGGAACACCAGUGGCGAAGGCGGCUUUCUGGACGGUAACUGACGCUGAGACGCGAAAGCGUGGGGAGCGAACAGG
rnacentral:rRNA from 1 species